GGCGCCGUAGCUCAGUUGGCUAGAGCGUUGGCUGUACUACAGCCUUUCCCUUGCUGGCGUGGGUUCGAAUCCCACCGAGGCCA
rnacentral:tRNA from 1 species